rnacentral:misc_RNA from 1 species
AUAGGAUGCUCAGCACCUGGGU